AGUGAACGCUGGCGGUAGGCCUAACACAUGCAAGUCGAACGGCAGCACAGGAGAGCUUGCUCUCUGGGUGGCGAGUGGCGGACGGGUGAGGAAUACAUCGGAAUCUACUCUGUCGUGGGGGAUAACGUAGGGAAACUUACGCUAAUACCGCAUACGACCUACGGGUGAAAGCAGGGGACCUUCGGGCCUUGCGCGAUUGAAUGAGCCGAUGUCGGAUUAGCUAGUUGGCGGGGUAAAGGCCCACCAAGGCGACGAUCCGUAGCCGGUCUGAGAGGAUGAUCAGCCACACUGGAACUGAGACACGGUCCAGACUCCUACGGGAGGCAGCAGUGGGGAAUAUUGGACAAUGGGCGCAAGCCUGAUCCAGCCAUACCGCGUGGGUGAAGAAGGCCUUCGGGUUGUAAAGCCCUUUUGUUGGGAAAGAAAUCCAGCCGGCUAAUACCCGGUUGGGAUGACGGUACCCAAAGAAUAAGCACCGGCUAACUUCGUGCCAGCCGCCGCUGUAA
rnacentral:rRNA from 1 species